rnacentral:rRNA from 1 species
AUUGAACGCUGGCGGCAUGCCUUACACAUGCAAGUCGAACGGCAGCGCGGACUUCGGUCUGGCGGCGAGUGGCGAACGGGUGAGUAAUACAUCGGAACGUACCCUGUUGUGGGGGAUAACUAGUCGAAAGAUUAGCUAAUACCGCAUACGACCUGAGGGUGAAAGUGGGGGACCGCAAGGCCUCACGCAGCAGGAGCGGCCGAUGUCUGAUUAGCUAGUUGGUGGGGUAAAGGCCCACCAAGGCGACGAUCAGUAGCUGGUCUGAGAGGACGAUCAGCCACACUGGGACUGAGACACGGCCCAGACUCCUACGGGAGGCAGCAGUGGGGAAUUUUGGACAAUGGGGGCAACCCUGAUCCAGCAAUGCCGCGUGUGUGAAGAAGGCCUUCGGGUUGUAAAGCACUUUCGUCCGGAAAGAAAUCGCGCUGGUUAAUACCUGGCGUGGAUGACGGUACCGGAAGAAUAAGCACCGGCUAACUACGUG